rnacentral:rRNA from 1 species
CCUACGGGUGGCUGCAGUGGGGAAUAUUGGACAAUGGGGGGAACCCUGAUCCAGCCAUGCCGCGUGUGUGAAGAAGGCCUUUUGGUUGUAAAGCACUUUAAGCGAGGAGGAGGCUACCUAGAUUAAUACUCUUGGAUAGUGGACGUUACUCGCAGAAUAAGCACCGGCUAACUCUGUGCCAGCAGCCGCGGUAAUACAGAGGGUGGAAGCGUUAAUCGGAUUUACUGGGCGUAAAGCGCGCGUAGGUGGCCAAUUAAGUCAAAUGUGAAAUCCCCGAGCUUAACUUGGGAAUUGCAUUCGAUACUGGUUGGCAAGAGGAUGGGAGAGGAUGGUAGAAUUCAAGGUGUAGCGGUGAAAUGCGUAGAGAUCUGGAGGAAUACCGAUGGCGAAGGAAGCCAUCUGGCCUAAUACUGAAACUGAGGUGCGAAAGAAUGGGGAGCAAACAGGAUUAGAUACCCGUGUAGUC